UACGAACCUUGCAAACGUUAUUCGGAAUCACUGGGCUUAAAGGGUGCGUAGGCUGUGCAGUAAGUUGGGUGUGAAAUACCUCGGCUUAACCGAGGAAUUGCGCCCAAAACUACUGUGCUCGAGGAAGAUAGAGGUGAGCGGAACUUAGGGUGGAGCGGUGAAAUGCGUUGAUAUCCUAAGGAACACCGGUGGCGAAAGCGGCUCACUGGAUCUUAUCUGACGCUGAGGCACGAAAGCCAGGGUAGCAAACGGG
rnacentral:rRNA from 1 species